UGCAGUCAGGACAGUGUCUAAUACACAAAUUCCAUUUAAUUUCAUUCAUAGGGGAUUAUGUACUCGUCGGUGCCGAUAUUUUUAACAAAUACUGCCCUCCGCUAAGCUUUGGAGCAGCUGAAGAUGACUAGGCGAUCGCAUCCAAAAAUUUUUAUCUUUCACAAACGGAAAUGAGCUACGGGAAUACGUGGAGAAUGAAAGAUGGGACAAAGAUCUUCUGUGUGGAAGGAGAUGGAUGCUGUUGAUUUAUCCAUGGACUUUCCUAUUCUUAUUGAAGAAGAAAUUUGCAACAUUACAUUAGGAACUUACCAGAUGAAAAUGCCUAAGGCGUACUCGCACGAACAAUUACAGGAAGAUGGCGCUUACGACAUUCUCACCGCAGAGGAUGUGCCAAAUAUCGUCGGCACAAAGAUUCAAAGUCACAACUUUUUAGCCAUAAAUAUUUGUGUUGGAUACGCCACUGUAAAGGAGCUAUUGUAUCCUGUGGGCAUGUUCACGAAGCUAUCUUAAGACUAAGAUAUGUCUCAGACAUCACUUAGGACACGUCUUAGUCCUAAGUCAAUUUCUUGAAGCCGUCCUAUUUUAGGACAUGUCUUAAAAAAUAUCUUAACUUUAAGACAUCCUAACAGGUGUCUUAACUAGUAAAAAUGCCCGUCGCCUAUUACAACUACAUAAGAAGAAGAAACCCAAACCUACAUCGCGAGCGCAUAUUUCGAGAUAUCGACAACCCGCUUGAUUACCUAGAUGACACAGAUAUCAUCUGUAAGUACAGACUGCCCCGUAAUAUUAUAAUAGACCUUUGUGGACGCUUCAAUCGUGACCUGAGACGACCUACAUUGAGGUCACGCCCACUAUCCGUAUCGCUCCGAGUGAUGGUAGCUUUGAGAUUUUACGCCACCGGCAGCUUCCAAGCCGUUCUAAGUGAUGUGCACAGAAUAUCCAAACAUAGCGUGUCUAGAAUAAUUAAUGAUUUUACUGAUUGUUUAGUGAGACUUUCUCCUGAGUAUGUUAAAAUGCCUACCCAAAACGACUCGCAGGCUUCCCAAACACACCUCACAGCCUUAUUAGCAUAAUCGGAACCUUUCUGGUUUUUAUAUUCACGAAAGAAUGAAAAAACCCGAGAAAGUCAAAACUUCGUAUAUCUCGGGAUUUUAACGAGACCAGUCUCAUACUCGUGAAAAUCGAGAGAGGAGUUUAAAUGGAAAAACAUGAAACAGUCUGAACAGCAAUCCUCGAUUUUGUCAACAAUCUAAAACGUGCUAAGGAGUAGUCAUUCGUCGAUUUACCUGCGGCUUCCAGAUGAUCUGAAGAUCAGCAGGCAUGUUCACGAAACUUUCCUAAGAUAUGACCUAAGUGUGUUCCUAAGAUAUAACUUAGGAAAAAAGUUAGGAACAUCCUAAGAUCAACUUAGGACACGUCUUAAGAUGUAGCUCGACGGUAACUUAGGAACAUCUUAAGUUAGGAUAUCCUAACCUUCUACAACUAUUCAUAUUUUUCAUAUUUAUUCAUACAGAUCGAUUUUGAGAGACUUUUGUGGUGAUAAAUCAUUAAACAGUUUGCCAGAGAAAAGUGUACGUGUCGGUAGUUUACACAAUAUGCCUUACAUAUAUUCAUUUUUUAAAAUUUACAAUAACUUAAUUAUAUAUCAGUGUCCAAUAACAAUUUAGUUUAAAAAGAAACAAAAAAACCCAAAAAACAAAAACAGAAGAAAAAUGCCCCCCUCCCCCCGAAAUCCAAAUGACUGCUUUGUUUAUAAAAAAAAUAUUUAUCAGGACAGAACUGGCUUACAAAGCAAAUAAA